rnacentral:rRNA from 1 species
UACGUAGGGUGCAAGCGUUAAUCGGAAUUACUGGGCGUAAAGCGUGCGCAGGCGGCUUUGCAAGACAGAUGUGAAAUCCCCGGGCUUAACCUGGGAACUGCAUUUGUGACUGCAUGGCUGGAGUGCGGCAGAGGGGGAUGGAAUUCCGCGUGUAGCAGUGAAAUGCGUAGAUAUGCGGAGGAACACCGAUGGCGAAGGCAGGUCUCUGGGCCAUAACUGACGCUGAGACGCGAAAGCGUGGGGAGCAAACAGG